rnacentral:rRNA from 1 species
AGUCUGGUGCCAGCAGCCGCGGUAAUUCCAGCUCCGCAAGUGUAUAUCUAUGUUGCUGCGGUUAAAAAGCUCGUAGUUGGAUCUGCGUGUUUAGCGUCCGGUUCGACUUUUGGUCGUUACUGGAACGCGACACAGAUGUGCUGGUUUGCCGUUGAUGCUCUUAACCGGGUGUCAGUGGCGGCUAGCGAGUUUACUUUGAAAAAAUUAGGGUGCUCAAAACAGGCGUUUCGCCUGAAUAUUUCUGCAUGGAAUAAUAGAAUAGGACCUCGAUUCUAUUCUGUUGGUUUUCGGAAUGCGAAGUAAUGAUUAAGAGGGACAGACGGGGGCAUUCGUACUGCGACGUUAGAGGUGAAAUUCUUGGAUCGUCGCAAGACGUACUACUGCGAAGGCAUUUGCCAAGAAUGUUUUCAUUAAUCAAGAACGAAAGUUAUGGGUUCGAAGGCGAUCAGAUACCGCCCUAGUCAUAACCGUAAACGAUUCAAACUGGGCGCCCGACGGUGUUUUUAUUGACCCGUCGGGAACCCUCCCGGAAACGAAAGUGUUCGUGUUCCGGGGGAAAUAUGUCUGCAAAGAGGAAACUUAAAGGAAUUGACGGAAGGGCACCACCAGGGGUGGAGCCUGCGGCUUAAUUUGACGCAACACGGGGAAACUCACCCGGCCCGGACACCGUAAGGAUUGACAGAUUGAGAGCUCUUUCUUGAUUCGGUGGGUGGUGGUGCAUGGCCGUUCUUAGUUGGUGGAGUGAUUUGUCUGGUUUAUUCCGAUAACGAACGAGACUCUGGCCUGCUAACUAGUGUUCACAUCUUUACGUGUGCUUCGCUUCUUAGAGGGACAGGCGGCUUCCAGCCGCAUGAAGAAGAGCAAUAACAGGUCUGUGAUGCCCUUAGAUGUCCGGGGCUGCACGCGCGCUACACUGAAAGAAUCAGCGUGUACGUUACCUGGCUCGAAAGAGUCGGGUAAUCCGGUGAAAAUCUUUCGUGAUUGGGAUCGGGACUUGCAAUUAUUUCCCUUGAACGAGGAAUCCCUAGUAAGUGCGGGUCAUCAGCUCGCGCUGAUUACGUCCCUGCCCUUUGUACACACCGCCCGUCGCUGCCCGGAACUGAGCCGUUUCGAGAAAAAUGGGGACUGUCUACUUGAGGUCUUCACGGACUUUUUGUAAAUGGAAACCGCUU